rnacentral:rRNA from 1 species
CAGCCGCCGCGGUAAUACGGAGGUGGCGAGCGUUGUUCGGAAUUACUGGGCGUAAAGCGUACGUAGGCGGAUAUUUAGGUCAGAUGUGAAAGCCCCGGGCUCAACCUGGGAACUGCAUUUGAAACUGGAUAUCUAGAGUUUGGUAGAGGCGGGUAGAAUUCCUAGUGUAGCGGUGAAAUGCGUAGAUAUUAGGAGGAAUACCAGUGGCGAAGGCGGCCCGCUGGACCAAAACUGACGCUGAGGUACGAAAGCGUGGGGAGCAAACGGGAUUAGAUACCCCGGUAGUCCACGCCGUAAACGAUGUCAACUAGUCGUUGGAUUCUUCGGGAUUUAGUGACGCAGCUAACGCGUGAAGUUGACCGCCUGGGGAGUACGGCCGCAAGGCUAAAACUCAAAUGAAUUGACGGGGGCCCGCACAAGCGGUGGAGCAUGUGGUUUAAUUCGAUGCAACGCGAAGAACCUUACCUACCCUUGACAUCAUCAGAACUUGUUAGAGAUAACUCGGUGCCUUCGGGAACUGAAUGACAGGUGCUGCAUGGCUGUCGUCAGCUCGUGUCGUGAGAUGUUGGGUUAAGUCCCGCAACGAGCGCAACCCUUGUCCUUAGUUGCCAGCACGUAAUGGUGGGAACUCUAAGGAGACUGCCGGUGAUAAACCGGAGGAAGGUGGGGAUGACGUCAAGUCAUCAUGGCCCUUAUGGGUAGGGCUACACACGUGCUACAAUGGUACAUACAGAGGGCAGCGACCUCGCGAGAGCAAGCAAAUCCCACAAAGUGUAUCGUAGUCCGGAUUGGAGUCUGCAACUCGACUCCAUGAAGUCGGAAUCGCUAGUAAUCGUGAAUCAGAAUGUCACGGUGAAUACGUUCCCGGGCCUUGUACACACCGCCCGUCACACCAUGGGAGUGGGCUGCAAAAGAAGUAGGUAGUUUAACCUUCGGGAGAACGCUUACCACUUUGUGGUUCAUGACUGGGGUGAAGUCGUAACAAGGUAACCGUA